CUCAGAUCAACUUGAAGCUGCUGCUGAGCAGUGACCACUCACACCUGAUCAUCAUCACCCUGAUCCCCAGCUGCUGCCAUAUAAGGACGGAUCUUCCCCCUGCACAGUAUCAGAUUGUUGCGAAACCCUCAGCGGUAACACCUUCAGGCCUGCUGUAGAAAUGUGAGCUAAAUGCACAGUAACUAACCUGUCUCUUCCUUCUGCCUAGUUGCCUCUCCUGUCCGCGAUCCUGACCCUCUCCACUGGAUUAGGACCUCCCGGCUUUGACCCCCUGUCUGUCUGACCCUGAGAUCAGGAACCGCCUGACCCCGAUUUGGAUCCCCUGGUUCUGACCCUGGCCUGUCUGACUAAGAGCAAGUUUAUUUCCUAAUAAACACCUGUUUUUGUAUUC